GAUGAACGCUGGCGGCGUGCCUAAUACAUGCAAGUCGAGCGAACAGACGAGGAGCUUGCUCCUCUGACGUUAGCGGCGGACGGGUGAGUAACACGUGUAUAACCUACCUAUAAGACUGGGAUAACUUCGGGAAACCGGAGCUAAUACCGGAUAAUAUAUUGAACCGCAUGGUUCAAUAGUGAAAGACGGUUUUGCUGUCACUUAUAGAUGGAUCCGCGCCGCAUUAGCUAGUUGUUAAGGUAACGGCUUACCAAGGCGACGAUGCGUGGCCGACCUGAGAGGGUGAUCGGCGACACUGGAACUGAGACACGGUCAAGACUACUACGGGAGGCAGCAGUAGGGAAUCUUCCGCAAUGGGCGAAAGCCUGACGGAGCAACGCCGCGUGAGUGAUGAAGGUGUUCGGAUCGUAAAACUCUGUUAUUAGGGAAGAACAAAUGUGUAAGUAACUAUGCACGUAUUGACGGUAACUAAUCAGAAAGCAACGGCUAACUACGUG
rnacentral:rRNA from 1 species